CACCCUCCCGCCGCUGCCAAUCCACAAGCGACUCUUCCAAACCGGCAGCCAAUCACGGGCGCGCUAGUUCUGAAUCUAGAAUCGACUAGAGCCCUUCAGUGCAGGGACAUCCCAGAAGGUCUUGAGGCGGGGUGAAAACUAUGAGGCUCUUUCGAGGUCCCAAGAGGGGACCGGAAACGCGCAUUUCCUCGCUGGAUGAGCCUUCGGAGUCCCGUGAACGUUGUGGGGUGGGUGAAUCUCACCAGACUGAUUGCAUUGUCUUGGGAACAGCCAGCUAAGGAUUUCAAGGAUUCUGGGAGAAGUCAGCUUAUGAGCAAACAGCUGGAAGGUAUUAAGAGGGAACUACUGCAAAAUCGAUUUGAGCAGACAAGCUGAAUGGUAA